AUACCUUUCUCGGCCUCUUGGUUAAGAUCAAGUGCAGUAUCUAUUAUUAUCAGUGUAAUAGUCUGAUAAUCUGAGCCUACGGGUUCAUUGCCCUGGUAUUAAUUUUUUAAGGGAAGGACCCAUGGUAGCUUGCUACUCAGGGUUCCCUUUGUAUCACCUUUGCUUUUUGGCACACCCACCAAUAUUUUGGCACACCCACU
rnacentral:snRNA from 1 species